UUUGUUGAUUGUUUAUGUUGUUUAUUUACUUUUUAUAAAGAUUGAAACUUUUAAUAAACUCAGAAUGUCCGAAAUUGAAAUAACCAAAUUCUACAAAGAAUCGUUUAUCCCAUCAUAUGGCGAAGAUGAUACCGAUACGGUCGACAUUUCGACACUAAUAAUAGAAAGCCAAAAGUGGGUACAAGUCUCAAUUACACAGAGAAACAUGAAUCUAAGAAAAAACUAGCGGCAGCGAUAAUUUACAACUUUUGUAAAACUAAUUGGAUGAAAAAAACGUUUCCGAGGAGAGGAAUCAUCGCUCUAACCAAAUUAAUUUUGGGAUCGAUUGAUUCCGAAGACGUCAUCGCGGCCCAAAUAUUUGUGCUUCAUAUUACCAAACAUUCGCUCGAUGAUAAUAUAACAUAUUCACGUAUCUAGUCUACAUGGCCAAUACGUUCGCAAUAAAAAGACUACUGUGGGACGAUGAAAAACGGUGGAUCGAUCUGUCCAGAAAUGUAUGUCGUCAUAGUAAGGUAAUAAAAUCUUUCCACCUUUAUUUGAAAAAUCACUUUAAUGAGAUGAGUUUUUCUUUUUGUAAAGUAAUUUUCAUUAAAAGACUUAAGCAUUCGACAUCCAACGAAUACAUCGUAAGCUGAAUCUACAGUCUACCGAAAUCGUGUUGCUCGAAUGCAGGAGAAAUCAGCUCUUAGGGCCAUUUUUUUUGUAUCGAUGUUGCUUGCGAUGUUUGCGAUUAUUGUUCGAAAUUUGUCUUAUUGCCAACAUUUAAGUCAACCUUAUAAUAGUAUGCCAAAGUGGUUCACCCACUGGGCGAUAUUAUUGCGUAGACAUUAUCACCAUGUAUUAUCACCCAGGGUUACAUUACAACACACAAUUUUCGUUGAGUUGUAGUUUCAAACUGAUUUUAUUCUUAAGAAAAAUUGGCUCCAGAACACUAGAUUCUAUCAAUCGAUUUGAAUCAACGCACUUCAAGCAUGAGUGCUGCUCUAGAGUACCAGUCAGUGUACAAAAAAAAAUUACACUGCAAAAAAGUUGAGAACAAAUUUUCAUACAAAAUAUGGCAGCUGUAAAACGAAGAACUUUUGCUUGAAGUGCGUUGUUUGCAUACAUAAAUUACAGUAAACAUUUGGUGAAUGAUAUUAUCAUCUUCUCGGCGAUAUUUUGAACUUCUGCACCGCAUCUUUUUCAUGUAUACUAUCACGUAGAGUGAUUUUUCAUUUAUUCAGUAAGUGUCCUUCUUGACUUUUAUCAAAGCACUGUCAAUCACCGAAGCUGACUUUGACAUCCCACAAUUAGAAGGUCGCUUGAGAGUGCUAUGCUUAUUUAUACUUCUAUAACAUCACAUUUUCGACCACAAACAACCUUCUGUUAUCAACCACAGCACACACUGCAAUUCAAUGAACUAACAA